GUGAACGCUGGCGGUAGGCCUCACCCCUGCAAGUCGAACGGCAGCACAGUAAGAGCUUGCUCUUACGGGUGGCGAGUGGCGGACGGGUGAGGAAUACAUCGGAAUCUACUUUUUCGUGGGGGAUAACGUAGGAAAACUUACGCUAAUACCGCAUACGACCUACGGGUGAAAGCAGGGGAUCUUCGGACCUUGCGCGAUUGAAUGAGCCGAUGUCGGAUUAGCUAGUUGGCGGGGUAAAGGCCCACCAAGGCGACGAUCCGUAGCUGGUCUGAGAGGAUGAUCAGCCACACUGGAACUGAGACACGGUCCAGACUCCUACGGGAGGCAGCAGUGGGGAAUAUUGGACAAUGGGCGCAAGCCUGAUCCAGCCAUACCGCGUGGGUGAAGAAGGCCUUCGGGUUGUAAAGCCCUUUUGUUGGGAAAGAAAAGCAGCAGGUUAAUACCCCGCUGUUCUGACGGUACCCAAAGAAUAAGCACCGGCUAACUUCGU
rnacentral:rRNA from 1 species